rnacentral:sRNA from 1 species
UUUUAGCCCCGACCUGCCUGCCGGCAGGCAGGUUGCAGCAGUAUCCUUUUGUGUAGCUUGCGGAACGAAAGAUAGAGCGGAAAGCGGGAACAUGG